rnacentral:rRNA from 1 species
GAUGAACGCUGGCGGCGUGCCUAAUACAUGCAAGUCGAGCGAACAGACGAGGAGCUUGCUCCUCUGACGUUAGCGGCGGACGGGUGAGUAACACGUGGAUAACCUACCUAUAAGACUGGGAUAACUUCGGGAAACCGGAGCUAAUACCGGAUAAUAUAUUGAACCGCAUGGUUCAAUAGUGAAAGACGGUUUUGCUGUCACUUAUAGAUGGAUCCGCGCCGCAUUAGCUAGUUGGUAAGGUAACGGCUUACCAAGGCAACGAUGCGUAGCCGACCUGAGAGGGUGAUCGGCCACACUGGAACUGAGACACGGUCCAGACUCCUACGGGAGGCAGCGGUAGGGAAUCUUCCGCAAGGGGCGAAAGCCUGACGGAGCAACGCCGCGUGAGUGAUGAAGGUCUUCGGAUCGUAAAACUCUGUUAUUAGGGAAGAACAAAUGUGUAAGUAACUAUGCACGUCUGGACGGUACCUAAGCAGAAAGCCACGGCUAACUACGG